AGUGAACGCUGGCGGUAGGCCUAACACAUGCAAGUCGAACGGCAGCACAGUAAGAGCUUGCUCUUACGGGUGGCGAGUGGCGGACGGGUGAGGAAUACAUCGGCAUCUACUUUUUCGUGGGGGAUAACGUAGGGAAACUUACGCUAAUACCGCAUACGACCUACGGGUGAAAGCAGGGGAUCUUCGGACCUUGCGCGAUUCAAUGAGCCGAUGGCGGAUUAGCUAGUUGACGGGGUAAAGGCCCACCAAGCCGACGAUCCGUAGCUGACCUGAGAGGAUGAGCGGCCAGACGGGAAUUGAGACAAGGGCGAGACUGCGACGGGAGGCAGCAGUAGGGGAUCUUGCGAAAUGGGCGAAAGCUUGACGGAGCAGCGGCGCGGGAGUGAUGAAGGGCUUAGGAUCGUAAAACUCUGGUGUUAGGGAAGAAAAUAGGGGUAAGGAACGGUGCACAUGUGGACGGUACCUAAUCAGAAAGCCACGGCUAACUACGUG
rnacentral:rRNA from 1 species